rnacentral:rRNA from 1 species
AUUGAACGCUGGCGGCAUGCCUUACACAUGCAAGUCGAACGGCAGCACGGACUUCGGUCUGGUGGCGAGUGGCGAACGGGUGAGUAAUGUAUCGGAACGUACCUUUCAGUGGGGGAUAACGUAGCGAAAGUUACGCUAAUACCGCAUAUUCUGUGAGCAGGAAAGCAGGGGAUCGAAAGACCUUGCGCUGAUUGAGCGGCCGAUAUCAGAUUAGCUAGUUGGUGGGGUAAAGGCCUACCAAGGCGACGAUCUGUAGCGGGUCUGAGAGGAUGAUCCGUCACACUGGAACUGAGACACGGUCCAGACUCCUACGGGAGGCAGCAGUGGGGAAUUUUGGACAAUGGGGGCAACCCUGAUCCAGCCAUGCCGCGUGAGUGAAGAAGGCCUUCGGGUUGUAAAGCUCUUUCGGCCGGGAAGAAAUCGCAUAGGCUAAUACCCUGUGUGGAUGACGGUACCGGAAUAAGAAGCACCGGCUAACUACGUG